GUCACCCCUUGCCCACUAAGAUUUGUCUUCAUUAGGAUCCUGCAGAAGCAGCAUUCUGCUGGAAUACUGUCAUUUCACAGUAUGAAGUGCUUAAGUCACUGCCACAAGAUGUUCUUGAGAUUAAGAAGAAAAUCUCAAAUUUUCUGGAGAAAGGGACAAUGCUUCAGAUGGAAGAAUGAUGAGAAGACUACAGGAACCAACAGAAGAAAAAAGAAAGUGAUAGUGGAUGAGAUGGAUGAACUUAGUGCUGGCUUGAAAAGGAAAACAGAAUUAGAAUAUACCUGAGCAGGGGAAGGAAGAGAGGGAGGGAGGGAGAGGUGUACUAAAGAGGAGUCUAA